rnacentral:tRNA from 1 species
GUCGCAGUAGCAUAAUUUUGUAACGCGGAUCAGUACCGUUGAUUAGUUGUGGGUUCUAAUCCCACCUGCACCA